UACGAAGGGGGCUAGCGUUGUUCGGAAUCACUGGGCGUAAAGCGCACGCAGGCGGUUCGUUAAGUCGGGGGUGAAAUGCCGAGGCUCAACCUCGGAACUGCCUUUGAUACUGGCGAUCUUAGAGUCCGGGAGAGGUGAGUGGAACUCCGAGUGUAGAGGUGAAAUUCGUAGAUAUUCGGAAGAACACCAGUGGCGAAGGCGGCUCACUGGCCCGGUACUGACGCUCAGGUGCGAAAGCGUGGGGAGCAAACAGG
rnacentral:rRNA from 1 species